rnacentral:rRNA from 1 species
UACGGGGGGAGCAAGCGUUGUUCGGAUUUACUGGGCGUAAAGGGCGCGUAGGCGGCCAGUGCAAGUCAGUUGUGAAAUCUCCGAGCUUAACUCGGAAAGGUCAACUGAUACUGUGCGGCUAGAGUGCAGAAGGGGCAACUGGAAUUCUUGGUGUAGCGGUGAAAUGCGUAGAUAUCAAGAGGAACACCUGCGGCGAAGGCGGGUUGCUGGGCUGACACUGACGCUGAGGCGCGAAAGCUAGGGGAGCGAACGGG